CAUUGAUUAUUAAUAAUGGAGUCUUUAUUACAAGAAAAACUGCCAGGAAUUGUGAACAACGCGUCUCAUUUGAAUUAAAUAAGAAUAAAGUUGGCCAUGAUCAAUUUAUGUCUACAGUAAUAUUUGGUACAGUUACUACAUCUGAGGAAUUAAAAUAUCAUGUUGUGAUAAAACUUAAACUACGAGAUGAGAAGCUCAGAAAUGAGUUUAAAAUCGAUUUUCAAUUUCACAAUGAAAUUACUAUGUAUGAAACAGUUAUACCUUACCUAGUUCAGUGCCAUCACUCUUUAGCAGGUGUCAGCAAUUGGCCGACAUUGGCUCGAUUUUUCUAGGGUCGUAAUAAAUGCGGUGAAUUUGCUUUAAGUGAUUUAAUAGUGUUAGAAAACGUUGAAUCUAAGAGGUUCCAAUUGAGCGAAGCACGUCCGUUCAUCGACUAUCACUAUCUGGUUUAUGCGAUACGAUACUUUAGCAAAGCGGGACUUCCAGUCGACGUGCUGCUUUUCGACUUUGGGACCCCUCGUUACGGAUCGCCGGCGUUAGAUAUUUUCUUAUACAUGAACACGACGCAAGACAUGCGUGAAAGUCGGUGUGACGACUUAUUGAAUGAGUACUGUUCGACUUUGGCGAAAUCCGUACCUUCAGUCGUCCGCGUGCCGAACAAGGAUGAACUAAACUCUGAGAUGGCCAUAUGUGCCUUUUUUGGAUUUGCACGCGCGUCAUUUUUUUUACCUCAUCAGUUGAAAGCUAAUGUGAUCUAUAAUGAUAAAAUGAGUGAAGAAGAAAAUGUGGAGUGGUUAUUAAAGCUGGGCGGCAACAUUGGAUCGGAUCGAGUGGCUGACAUAGUCCAACACAUUGUCGACAUGAAAUACACGAAUACGACCGACGGCGGCGGCGGCGGUGACAUUGUAAUCACGAGUGGUAAACAUUCAAAGCGUUAUCAGCUAUUCGCCGCACUGGGACGAGAACGAGCGGAGAGGAGAAAAAAAACCAACGAUAAUAAAAUAAAUACUCAGACAAUCGCGGUCGAGUGGACUGAGGUGUCGAGCACAUUCGACGGACAUCGUUCGACGACGUCUGACGAACGCGACACGACAUCUGAACAUCGAAAUUUAACGGAUCGAACGGCUGCGGUGACGAUGAACACGAGCCGCGAAUCCCUCAAGCAGUGGCUGUCGGACUUGCUGACGGCCGACGGGGCGUACGGCGCCACCGCCGAUCGGCCGGCCACGUUCGACCCGGACAGGGACCCGCGGCACGCGUCCCGUCCCAAGCAGACUCAGCGGCUGUCGUCGGUGGUGGCUUCCGGCCGGCUGACCGUGCCGGCCGGCGGGUCGCGCGACCCGCCGGCGGCGGACGUCCGGCUGACGGUCAAGCUCAAGCCGCCCGUGGAGCUGUUGCGCACCGUGCUCAAGUCGGACAGGCAGUUCCACAACGAAAUACACGUGUACCAGAACGUGUUGCCGUUCCUGACCGAACACCUGCCGGAAGGGACCCGCGGCCCGGCGCUGCCCGUGUUCGUGUACGGCCGCAACGAGUGCGGCGCCCGGUGGCCGGAAGACGUCAUCGUGCUGGUGGACCCGCGCGGACAGGGCUACACGCCGGCCCGCGGCUCCGAACACGGCAGCGGCGGGGCGGCCAGCGCGCACAUGGACUACAACCACCUGGCCGUGGCCAUCGCCGCGCUCGGACGGUUCCACGGCAUGUCGUUCACCACCAAGCAGAAGAACCCCGUGGCCUUCCGCAAGCUGGUGGGCAACCUGCGCGAGAUCCAGUGGGACGAGGACGGUUGGCUGGUCAAGGGCAACGGGCUCAAGUCGCUGAGCAUGCGCGGCGCCCGGCCGCUGAUGGACCAGGACAAGUACCGGGACGGCAAGCUCAAGGGUUUCCUGACCAUGAUCCGGGAGGCGGACCGCAACCUCAAGCUGGCGAUGACGCCCAAGGAACCGUUCGCGGUCAUAUGCCACGGUGACUAUUGCAAGCCCAACAUACUGUUCGAGUACGACGAAGCCGGACAGCCGAAGGACGCCAUGAUCACCGAGUUCACAGCCGUCAGGUAUGGUUCGCCCGGACUGGACUUGUCAUACUUCCUGUACAAGAACGCGGACAAAGACGUGCAGAACAACCGGUGGGAAGACCUGUUGGCCGUCUACUUGGAAUCGGUGGUUGCCGUGCUGCCGGCAGACGUUAAGGCGCCAACCACAGAGCAGCUGCACCGUGAGCUCAGGUUCCACGCACUAUACGGUUACGCACACCUGUUGUUUGCCGUGCCGAACAUGAUCAACGACAACCCACGUGGACUGUUAGACAUCGACAACGACGACGAAAAGACCGUCGAAGACUUGCUGGUCGCCCGGAUCGACGCGGCUGACGAGAAGAUAACCGAAAUCCUUUCAGAGACCGUCCGUCACAUCAUCGACCACGGUUACGCGGAGCAAUACGAGUUCUCGGGCAAUUCUCGUCUGUAGGACAAAGACGGAUGUGGCGUUUUGUUGCUCAUCUACGUCCGUUAGUCUGACGUUAUGUAUUAUAUUAUUAUUAUCGUUAUUACUAGGACUAUGCAUUUGUAGCAACGAGUAUUUAUUUUUAUUAGCUUAAUGUUAAAUGUAGCUUUCUUAAGUUUGACUAAUAUAAUAUAACAAUGGAUUUAAGUUUAAAACAUUA